rnacentral:rRNA from 1 species
AGAGGGUGACCGGCCACACUGGGACUGAGACACGGCCCAGACUCCUACGGGAGGCAGCAGUGGGGAAUAUUGCACAAUGGGCGAAAGCCUGAUGCAGCGACGCCGCGUGCGGGAUGACGGCCUUCGGGUUGUAAACCGCUUUCAGCUCUGACGAAGCUUUUGUGACGGUAGGAGCAGAAGAAGCACCGGCUAACUACGUGCCAGCAGCCGCGGUAAUACGUAGGGUGCGAGCGUUGUCCGGAAUUAUUGGGCGUAAAGAGCUUGUAGGCGGCUUGUCGCGUCUGCUGUGAAAACCCGGGGCUUAACCCCGGGCUUGCAGUGGGUACGGGCAGGCUAGAGUGUGGUAGGGGAGACUGGAAUUCCUGGUGUAGCGGUGGAAUGCGCAGAUAUCAGGAGGAACACCGAUGGCGAAGGCAGGUCUCUGGGCCAUUACUGACGCUGAGAAGCGAAAGCAUGGGGAGCGAACAGGAUUAGAUACCCUGGUAGUCCAUGCCGUAAACGUUGGGCGCUAGGUGUGGGUCCCAUUCCACGGGGUCCGUGCCGCAGCUAACGCAUUAAGCGCCCCGCCUGGGGAGUACGGCCGCAAGGC